UAAAAAGCUUUGAAGGACAUUAGUAAAUUUAUUAACUGAAAUAAGAGAACUGGUGGCUGCUGCAAAUCAGUCAGUUAAUUAUUGAAUCCAGUCUGGAGCUGUGAAGCCGAAAAUUUGACUAAGCUGAGCCGGUUGAGUCCGUUAAAACUAUUAAGCGGCAGCAAUUUGCUGUCAUUAGGGUGGCACCACGAGUACGCUCGUCCCUUUU
rnacentral:ncRNA from 1 species